rnacentral:RNase_P_RNA from 1 species
ACGAUGGAUCCGAUUGCCGCUUGUGAUUAUGGUUUACAUAUUUGCAAGAGGAAAGUCCGGGCUCCGCAGGGCAUGAUGCCGGGUAAUUCCCGGGCUGAGAAAAGAUGAAAAUCUUUUCUUAGACAGACAGUGCAACAGAAAGUAUACCGCUAAACGUAAAAACUUUUAGUUUUUACUGUAAGUAAGGGUGAAAGGGUGGGGUAAGAGCCCACCGCAUAUCUGGUAACAGGUAUGGCACGGCAAACCUCAUCAGGAGCAAAGUUGAGCAGCGGAAUGAAGGGCCCCUUCGGUACUCCGCGGGUAGACUGCGUCGACAGUGUUGGCAACAACACUGCAAGAUAGAUGGCAAUCCUACGGUUUCGGUUCCCGAAACCGUUUGACAGAACCCGGCU